rnacentral:rRNA from 1 species
CCUACGGGAGGCAGCAGUGAGGAAUAUUGGUCAAUGGCCGGAAGGCUGAACCAGCCAUGCCGCGUGAAGGGCAGGGACCUAGGGGCGGUAAACUUCUUUUGUGCGGGAGCAAGAAUGGUCACGUGUGGCCAGACGAGAGUACCGUACGAAUAAGCAGCGGCUAACUCCGUGCCAGCAGUCGCGGUAAUACGGGGGAUGCAAGCGUUAGCCGGAUUUCUUGGGGUUAAAGGGUGCGUCGGCUGUGAGGUAAGUCAGCGGUGAAAUGCCCCCGCUCAACGGGGUGAAGUGCCAUUGAUACUGCCUUGCUGGACUGCGGAUGCCGUGGGAGGAAUGUGUGGUGUAGCGGU